UAAGUGGAAAAGGAUGUGGCGUUGCCCAGACAACUAGGAUGUUGGCUUAGAAGCAGCCAUCAUUUAAAGAGUGCGUAAUAGCUCACUAGUCGAGUGACACUGCGCCGAAAAUGUACCGGGGCUAAACAUAUUACCGAAGCUGUGGAUUGUCCUUUGGACAAUGGUAGGAGAGCGUUCUAAGGGCGUUGAAGCAUGAUCGUAAGGACAUGUGGAGCGCUUAGAAGUGAGAAUGCCGGUGUGAGUAGCGAAAGACGGGUGAGAAUCCCGUCCACCGAUUGACUAAGGUUUCCAGAGGAAGGCUCGUCCGCUCUGGGUUAGUCGGGUCCUAAGCUGAGGCCGACAGGCGUAGGCGAUGGAUAACAGGUUGAUAUUCCUGUACCACCUAUAAUCGUUUUAAUCGAUGGGGGGACGCAGUAGGAUAGGCGAAGCGUGCGAUUGGAUUGCACGUCUAAGCAGUAAGGCUGAGUAUUAGGCAAAUCCGGUACUCGUUAAGGCUGAGCUGUGAUGGGGAGAAGACAUUGUGUCUUCGAGUCGUUGAUUUCACACUGCCGAGAAAAGCCUCUAGAUAGAAAAUAGGUGCCCGUACCGCAAACCGACACAGGUAGUCAAGAUGAGAAUUCUAAGGUGAGCGAGCGAACUCUCGUUAAGGAACUCGGCAAAAUGACCCCGUAACUUCGGGAGAAGGGGUGCUCUUUAGGGUUAACGCCCAGAAGAGCCGCAGUGAAUAGGCCCAAGCGACUGUUUAUCAAAAACACAGGUCUCUGCUAAACCGUAAGGUGAUGUAUAGGGGCUGACGCCUGCCCGGUGCUGGAAGGUUAAGAGGAGUGGUUAGCUUCUGCGAAGCUACGAAUCGAAGCCCCAGUAAACGGCGGCCGUAACUAUAACGGUCCUAAGGUAGCGAAAUUCCUUGUCGGGUAAGUUCCGACCCGCACGAAAGGCGUAACGAUUUGGGCACUGUCUCAACGAGAGACUCGGUGAAAUCAUAGUACCUGUGAAGAUGCAGGUUACCCGCGACAGGACGGAAAGACCCCGUGGAGCUUUACUGUAGCCUGAUAUUGAAAUUCGGCACAGCUUGUACAGGAUAGGUAGGAGCCUUUGAAACGUGAGCGCUAGCUUACGUGGAGGCGCUGGUGGGAUACUACCCUAGCUGUGUUGGCUUUCUAACCCGCACCACUUAUCGUGGUGGGAGACAGUGUCAGGCGGGCAGUUUGACUGGGGCGGUCGCCUCCUAAAAGGUAACGGAGGCGCUCAAAGGUUCCCUCAGAAUGGUUGGAAAUCAUUCAUAGAGUGUAAAGGCAUAAGGGAGCUUGACUGCGAGACCUACAAGUCGAGCAGGGUCGAAAGACGGACUUAGUGAUCCGGUGGUUCCGCAUGGAAGGGCCAUCGCUCAACGGAUAAAAGCUACCCCGGGGAUAACAGGCUUAUCUCCCCCAAGAGUUCACAUCGACGGGGAGGUUUGGCACCUCGAUGUCGGCUCAUCGCAUCCUGGGGCUGUAGUCGGUCCCAAGGGUUGGGCUGUUCGCCCAUUAAAGCGGUACGCGAGCUGGGUUCAGAACGUCGUGAGACAGUUCGGUCCCUAUCCGUCGUGGGCGUAGGAAAUUUGAGAGGAGCUGUCCUUAGUACGAGAGGACCGGGAUGGACAUACCUCUGGUGUACCAGUUGUCGUGCCAACGGCAUAGCUGGGUAGCUAUGUGUGGACGGGAUAAGUGCUGAAAGCAUCUAAGCAUGAAGCCCCCCUCAAGAUGAGAUUUCCCAACUUCGGUUAUAAGAUCCCUCAAAGAUGAUGAGGUUAAUAGGUUCGAGGUGGAAGCAUGGUGACAUGUGGAGCUGACGAAUACUAAUCGAUCGAAGACUUAAUCAAAA
rnacentral:rRNA from 1 species